rnacentral:rRNA from 1 species
UACGUAGGGUGCAAGCGUUGUCCGGAAUUAUUGGGCGUAAAGAGCUCGUAGGUGGCCUGUCGCGUCGGCUGUGAAAACUCGGGGCUCAACUCCGAGCUUGCAGUCGAUACGGGCAGGCUAGAGUUCGGCAGGGGAGACUGGAAUUCCUGGUGUAGCGGUGAAAUGCGCAGAUAUCAGGAGGAACACCGGUGGCGAAGGCGGGUCUCUGGACAACUUCUGACGCUGAGGCACGAAAGCUAGGGGAGCAAACAGG